UACGUAGGGUGCAAGCGUUUAAUCGGAAUACUGGGCGUAAAGCGUGCGCAGGCGGUUUUGUAAGUCUGUCGUGAAAGCCCCGGGCUCAACCUGGGAAUUGCGAUGGAGACUGCAAGGCUUGAAUCUGGCAGAGGGGGGUAGAAUUCCACGUGUAGCAGUGAAAUGCGUAGAGAUGUGGAGGAACACCGAUGGCGAAGGCAGCCCCCUGGGUCAAGAUUGACGCUCAUGCACGAAAGCGUGGGGAGCAAACAGG
rnacentral:rRNA from 1 species